rnacentral:rRNA from 1 species
AACGAACGCUGGCGGCAGGCUUAACACAUGCAAGUCGAACGAACGUAGCAAUACGUUAGUGGCGCACGGGUGAGUAACGCGUGGAUAUCUGCCUUUUGGUUCGGGAUAACCUUGGGAAACUAGGGCUAAUACCGAAUGGUUCCUACGGGAUAAAGAUUUAUCGCCAAAAGAUGAGUCCGCGUCCGAUUAGCUAGUUGGUGUGGUAACGGCGCACCAAGGCGACGAUCGGUAGCUGGUCUGAGAGGACGAUCAGCCACACUGGGACUGAGACACGGCCCAGACUCCUACGGGAGGCAGCAGUGGGGAAUAUUGGACAAUGGGGGCAACCCUGAUCCAGCCAUGCCGCGUGAGUGAUGAAGGCCUUCGGGUUGUAAAGCUCUUUUGGCGGGGACGAUGAUGACGGUACCCGCAGAAUAAGCCCCGGCUAACUUCGUGCCAGCAGCCGCAGUAACAC